rnacentral:rRNA from 1 species
UACGUAGGGUGCAAGCGUUGUCCGGAAUUAUUGGGCGUAAAGAGCUCGUAGGUGGCCUGUCGCGUCGGCUGUGAAAACUCGGGGCUCAACUCCGAGCUUGCAGUCGAUACUGGCGGGCUCGAGGCCGGUAGGGGGAAGCGGAAUUCCCGGUGUAGUGGUGGAAUGCGUAGAUAUCGGGAGGAACACCAGUGGCGAAGGCGGCUUCCUGGACCGGUUCUGACACUGAGGAGCGAAAGCGUGGGGAGCGAUCCGG